rnacentral:lncRNA from 1 species
UCAUUUAACCCAAGACCUCCACACGGGGCAUUGACUAGAAUCCUCUGGACUCUUUGAGUAGUUUAACACAAGACCUCCACAAGGGGAAUUGAUCGCCAUAAUAAGAAAAUAUUUAAUAUUUAAACAUAAAGUUGUAUGUUAACAUGAUUUUUGUAUUUGAUUAAUUUUUUGCAUUUUUGUUUUGGUAAAUUCUUUGAUAUUAUGAGUUUUGGUUGCAUGUCAGUAUUUUAGUGUAAAUAAGUUUAAAUUUUUAAUUUAUU